UACGUAGGGAGCAAGCGUUGUCCGGAAUCAUUGGGCGUAAAGCGCGCGUAGGUGGCUUCGUAAGUCCGUUGUGAAAGUCAAAGGCUCAACCUUUGAAAGCCGAUGGAUACUGCGGAGCUAGAGUACGGAAGAGGCGAGUGGAACUCCUGGUGUAGCGGUGGAAUGCGCAGAUAUCAGGAGGAACACCAAUAGCGAAGGCAGCUCGCUGGGACGUUACUGACACUGAGGCGCGAAAGCGUGGGGAGCAAACAGG
rnacentral:rRNA from 1 species